ACUGCGCACUUCUAGUAGUUUAGAACAUCAUAUGAAAGGGCUGAAAAGGUGGUAAGGGCAACAACAACAACAACAACAACAACAACAAAACAAACUAAAGUUUAGUCCAUUUGUCCAGUUUUUUACUGAAACAAUGAGCUUUGAAGCCAGAAUCCUGCUGCUGAUCCUGCUAGUACAUAUUACAGUUUCAGUCUCAGGUACCCGGCUUUUUCCUGUGUCAUGUAGUAAACGGACAAUCUGUGCUCUGAAGGCGUCAUCUGUGAAUCUCACAUGCUCUUACUCAAACACCAACAUCACCACUGGCUUCUGGUUCAACGUACAGGACAAAGCUAAAUGGAGGAAUGAGGAGCAUCCAGAGGAUUUAGCUUUAGACUCAGACUACGCAGGACGUGUGAACUACGUUAAGCUGACAAACUUAACCUCGACCCUUACAAUUACAGACCUGAGAGAGAGAGACUCAGGGGAAUAUCGCCUCAUGCUCAUUACAGAUAAAAAAGAGAAAUGUCUGAGCUCGACUGGAGUUGAUCUAACAG